AACCUCCGCAAUGUGAGAAAUCGCGACGGGGGGAUCCCAAGUGCCAUUCUUAACGGGAUGGCUUUUCAUUAGUGUAAAGAGCUUUUGGAAUAAGGGCUGGGCAAGACCGGUGCCAGCCGCCGCGGUAACACCGGCAGCUCUAGUGGUAGCAGUUUUUAUUGGGCCUAAAGCGUCCGUAGCCGGUUUAAUAAGUCUCUGGUGAAAUCCUGUAGCUUAACUGUGGGAAUUGCUGGAGAUACUAUUAGACUUGAGACCGGGAGAGGUUAGAGGUACUCCCAGGGUAGAGGUGAAAUUCUGUAAUCCUGGGAGGACCGCCUGUUGCGAAGGCGUCUAACUGGAACGGUUCUGACGGUGAGGGACGAAAGUUAGGGGCGCGAACCGGAUUAGAUACCCGGGUAGUCCUAACUGUAAACGAUGCGGACUUGGUGUUGGGGUGGCUUUGAGCUGCUCCAGUGCCGAAGGGAAGCUGUUAAGUCCGCCGCCUGGGAAGUACGGUCGCAAGACUGAAACUUAAAAGGAUG
rnacentral:rRNA from 1 species